GCCAAAACAGCAGCAGAAAGUUGAGGGACGGGAUGGGGAGGUGACCAAACUGCCAUAACAAUCUGGAUUUUGGAUCAGAGGAUUUGCAAGUCUGUGGAUGACGGCAGGGGAAGGAGGGGCCUGCUUGGCUUCUCGUAAACCUACAAGAAAGGAGGCAGUGAGCUGGAACAGACAAGGACGCCGCUCUGGACCUUCACAGCCAAACAUCGGCGUGUGUCUCCUGGCCUGAGACUCCCAGCUGGGCUCUCUGGCUAGUGCUGACUGGAACAAAGGCGCAGUGAUGAGGCGAGAAUCGACCUCCUCUCACCUAACCCCCAGGGGGUCCCUGAGGGAGAAGGAACCAUCUGCAAUCUGUGCUUUCUUUGGACGAGGAGCCGUGGUGAUACUCAGUCACAUCACAAAGUCAACACCAGGAUGGAUUCAUUCAGGCACACAAAGGCUUCGGCCGUCGACUGAGUGCGAUGAGCAAAGACUGCAGGCCGAGCAGAGCCGAGCCAGCGGACAUUCCAGGCGAGCCUGGCAUACUUGAAAUCCUGUGGCACAGAGAGACACAUUUCUCUUCCUCUUUGUCGCUAAAAACCCCCAUAAACUGCUUUGUUCUUUGGGAGAAUGGAUAUCUUUUUAUAGAUGUAUAAUUGCU